CGGGGGAGGCCGGAUCCUGGGCUGUGUCCCGGCGCCCUGUGCUCCGGGGCCUGCGCUGUUGGAGCGCUCGGGCUCCCCCUCUGCGGAGCCGCCG
rfam:Canis lupus familiaris chromosome 5, whole genome shotgun sequence.